CCUACGGGCGGCAGCAGUCGAGAAUCAUUCACAAUGGGGGAAACCCUGAUGGUGCGACGCCGCGUGGGGGAAUGAAGGUCUUCGGAUUGUAAACCCCUGUCAUGUGGGAGCAAAUUAAAAAGAUAGUACCACAAGAGGAAGAGACGGCUAACUCUGUGCCAGCAGCCGCGGUAAUACAGAGGUCUCAAGCGUUGUUCGGAAUCACUGGGAGUAAAGCGUGCGUAGGCUGUUUCGUAAGUCGUGUGUGUAAGGCGCGGUCUCAACCCGCGGACGGCACAUGAUACUGCGAGACUAGAGUAAUGGAGGGGGAACCGGAAUUCUCGGUGUAGCAGUGAAAUGCGUAGAUAUCGAGAGGAACACUCGUGGCGAAGGCGGGUUCCUGGACAUUAACUGGCGCUGAGGCACGAAGGCCAGGGGGGCGAAAGGGAUUAGAUACCCUGGUAGUC
rnacentral:rRNA from 1 species